rnacentral:rRNA from 1 species
GUGACCGCGUGCUUUUUGUAGAACGGACCAGCGAGUUACGGUAUGUAGCAAGGUUAAUAUUUUAAGGAUAGGAGCCGUAGGGAAACCGAGUCUUAAUAGGGCGAAAGUUGCAUGCUGUAGACCCGAAACCGUGUGACCUACCCAUGUCCAGGGUGAAGCGUGAGUAAAAUCACGUGGAGGCCCGAACCGGUGUCUGUUGAAAAAGGCUCGGAUGAGGUGUGGGUAGCGGAGAAAUUCCAAUCGAACACGGAGAUAGCUGGUUCUCCUCGAAAUAGCUUUAGGGCUAGCGUCAAGUGAUGAAUAGUGGAGGUAGAGCACUGAAUAGGCUAGGGGGCGAUAAGCUUACCGAACCUUAUCAAACUCCGAAUGCCAUAUAUUUUAGCUUGGCAGUCAGACUGCGUGAGAUAAGUUUCGUAGUCAAAAGGGAAACAGCCCAGAUCAUCAGCUAAGGUCCCAAAGUGUAAGUUAAGUGGGAAAGGAUGUGCAAUUGCUAAGACAACUAGGAUGUUGGCUUAGAAGCAGCCACUCAUUUAAAGAGUGCGUAAUAGCUCACUAGUCGAGUGAUUGUGCGCCGAAGAUAACCGGGGCUAAAACUUACCACCGAAGCUAUGGCAAUGCGAAUGCAUUGGGUAGAGGAGCAUUGUGUACGAAGCGAAGCUAGAGCGAGAGCGACAGUGGAUUGUACACAAGAGAGAAUGCUGGUAUGAGUAGCGAAAGUUAGGUGAGAAUCCUAACCAUCGAAAGUCUAAGGUUUCCUGAGGAAGGUUCGUCCGCUCAGGGUAAGUCGGGACCUAAGCCGAGGCCGAAAGGCGUAGGCGAUGGACAACUGGUGGAGAUUCCAGUACCACCUUUAAGCGUUUGAGAGAAGGAGUGACACAGGAGGAUAAGCUAACCGCUCGAAUGGAAGAGAGCGGCCAAGCGUCAAGUAGGGAAGCACAGUAAAAUGCGUGCUUCUAGUAACUAUGAGGCGUGACGGGGACCGAAAAUAAGUAGGGAAGUAGCGGAUUUCACACUGUCGAGAAAAGCUUCUAUCGAGCAAGAAGGUGCCCGUACCGUAAACCGACACAGGUAGACGAGGAGAGAAUCCUAAGAUGAUCGGGAGAAGUGUUGUUAAGGAACUCGGCAAAAUAACCCCGUAACUUCGGGAGAAGGGGAGCCUAACCCACUUUGAUGGGAAGGUUGCAGAGAAAUGGCCCAAGCGACUGUUUACCAAAAACACAGGUUUCUGCUAAAUCGAAAGAUGAAGUAUAGGAGCUGACGCCUGCCCGGUGCUGGAAGGUUAAGGGGACUUGUUAGCGCAAGCGAAGCAAUGAACUUAAGCCCCAGUAAACGGCGGCCGUAACUAUAACGGUCCUAAGGUAGCGAAAUUCCUUGUCAGGUAAGUUCUGACCCGCACGAAAGGCGUAACGAUUUGGGCACUGUCUCAACAACACACCCGGUGAAAUUGUAGUACUCGUGAAGAUGCGAGUUACCCGCGACAGGACGGAAAGACCCCGUAGAGCUUUACUGUAGCUUGACAUUGAACUUUGGUAUUGCAUGUACAGGAUAGGUGGGAGGCUAAGAAGUUGGGACGCCAGUCUCGAUGGAGCCACCCUUGGGAUACCACCCUUGUAAUGCUGAAGUUCUAACCAGUGGCCAUAAUCUGGUCAUGGGACAUUGUCUGGUGGGCAGUUUGACUGGGGCGGUCGCCUCCGAAAGAGUAACGGAGGCGCCCAAAGUUUACCUCAGAAUGGUUGGAAAUCAUUCGUAGAGUGCAAAGGCAAAAGGUAGACUGACUGCGAGAGAGACAUCUCGAGCAGGGACGAAAGUCGGGCUUAGUGAUCCGGUGGUACCGAGUGGAAGGGCCAUCGCUCAACGGAUAAAAGCUACCUCGGGGAUAACAGGCUUAUCUCCCCCAAGAGUCCACAUCGACGGGGAGGUUUGGCACCUCGAUGUCGGCUCGUCUCAUCCUGGGGCUGUAGUAGGUCCCAAGGGUUGGGCUGUUCGCCCAUUAAAGAGGCACGCGAGCUGGGUUCAGAACGUCGUGAGACAGUUCGGUCCCUAUCCGUCGUGGGCGCAAGAUAUUUGAGAGGAGCUGUUCCUAGUACGAGAGGACCGGAAUGGACAGACCUCUGGUGCACCAGUUGUACUGCCAAGUGCAUAGCUGGGUAGCUAAGUCUGGAAGGGAUAAGCGCUGAAGGCAUCUAAGUGCGAAGCCCCCCUCAAGAUAAGAUAUCUCACCCGUAAGGGGUAAGGUCCCUGGUAGACGACCAGGUUGAUAGGUCAGAGGUGUACGUGUAGAAAUACAUUUAGCUGACUGAUACUAAUAGGCCGAGGACUUGACCUUA